rnacentral:lncRNA from 1 species
CCAAAACCGACUACCGUAACUCGUCGGAAGUCCCGAAAAUCGCACCGGGACUCCGUCGGAACCCACGAACUGUCCCGAAAUGUUCCGACUCAGGAUACGAGUCACCCGUUGCCACAAAACACACCAAUUUGGAUGUCUUGGCAGCAAACACAAGUUAACACAACUACACAAUUAUCGCCGGAUAAUUGUACGAACUCGGGUUCCCGAAAGUGUCAAAUUCGACACCGGAACCCACCGUCGCUCACUCGUCAUUUCUGAACUCUCGAAAUGACGCAAGUGACCAGCAAACAAGGCUCGGCGACUACACAAUAGCUCACGAAGCACCGUCGGAAUAAUUCCGAACCGAACCCGCGUUCUAUCGGCGGAUUUCGCCGAAAAACGCAUCGAAAAUCACUUUUCGAUUUCCGCAAGGGCUUGGGGCCUUGGACGAUCAGUCC